rnacentral:lncRNA from 1 species
AUCAGGAUACGGACAGCCAAUCGCUGGGCUUACAUCCAUAUCCUGACACACAAGAACAAACAAGCAACAAGUCGCUAAGGAGUCAGGCACUCGAGCCUAGCAACUGUCAAGCAAACACACAAAAAAAAGAAAAAAAGUGUCUGGAGAGACCUCGCGCGGUCUCCUGCCUACGUACCUCAUCUGGUAUGAGGAUCAGGGCGACGUAGUUCCCCCCAACGGGGGAGAA